GGAGAAAUUCCAAUCGAACUUGGAGAUAGCUGGUUCUCUCCGAAAUAGCUUUAGGGCUAGCCUCGAGGUAAAGAGUCAUGGAGGUAGAGCACUGUUUGGACUAGGGGCCCUUCUCGGGUUACCGAAUUCAGAUAAACUCCGAAUGCCAUGUACUUAUACUCGGGAGUCAGACUGCGAGUGAUAAGAUCCGUAGUCGAAAGGGAAACAGCCCAGACCACCAGUUAAGGUCCCCAAAUAUAUGUUAAGUGGAAAAGGAUGUGGGGUUGCUUAGACAACCAGGAUGUUGGCUUAGAAGCAGCCACCAUUGAAAGAGUGCGUAAUAGCUCACUGGUCGAGUGACCCCGCGCCGAAAAUGUACCGGGGCUAAACAUAUUACC
rnacentral:rRNA from 1 species